GGGGGACCGGCAAGGCCUCACGCAGAUAGAUGAGCCGAUGUCGGAUUAGCUAGUUGGCGGGGUAAUGGCCCACCAAGGCGACGAUCCGUAGCUGGUCUGAGAGGAUGAUCAGCCACACUGGAACUGAGACACGGUCCAGACUCCUACGGGAGGCAGCAGUGGGGAAUAUUGGACAAUGGGCGCAAGCCUGAUCCAGCCAUGCCGCGUGGGUGAAGAAGGCCUUCGGGUUGUAAAGCCCUUUUGUCCGGAAAGAAAAGCAUUCGGUUAAUAACCGGGUGUCAUGACGGUACCGGAAGAAUAAGCACCGGCUAACUUCGUGC
rnacentral:rRNA from 1 species